GGAUCUCUCUCUCUCAUGAGGCCCCUUUCUCUCCCUCUAUCUCCUCUCGGAUCUCUCUCUCUCUCAUAAGGUCCCUUUCUCUCACUCUACUGCAAGUCCUUUCCCCCGUCGGCAUCGGCUUCGGCGCCGUCGUUCACCCCCGCAUGUGGAGGAGCAGUAGCACGGACGGCCUGGAGCACCGGCGGCGACGCGUGGAAGAGCACUGGUUGCGAUUAGUUUGAUUUGUUGGUAACAUUUGAUUAAUUUGUUUGAUUUGUGAUUUGGCGAAUCAGGCAUGUGACCUGUUUUUUUAAUUGAUUGGAACGAUAUCCGGCCGCCGGCGUGAGGAUUAGGGAUUCGAUAUAUGAUUUGCGAUCAGGGAACAUGAGGGCCGGGAGGGCUAUUUCUAUGUUUUAUUUUUAUUUUUUCAAAAACAACAUCAGUGUCGUUCAUGUUUUGUUGCCCGUCACUGAUGUGUUAUACAUCACUAACGGGCAGGCCGUCCGUCACUAAUGCUAAACACAUCAGUGACAGGAAGUUAGUGACGGACGGCUCGCUCGUUACUGAUAUGUUUUUUUGACCGUUACUGAAAACCGUUUUUUUAAGCAGUGAUAUGAGAUCAUAUCGACACCGACCCAACCAUCCAACAUAAGUACGUACACUUCCACUCCAUAUUUGAACGAACUAAUUGAGGUCGUACUUUUCUCCCCGUCCCGUCGACAUGGCCGGGCCAUACAUAAUACGGCAACAUAUAUUGAUCCCCCCAGUUAACGUUGGGACUUGGGAUCCCCUAUAAGUCACCUUUGCUUUCACCAAUAGCAGGAGGCCACUCCAGCUGUAUGUGUACA
rnacentral:lncRNA from 1 species